UGCUCAGAGGGCUUGUACAGGGACGUGAUGUUGGAGAACUACAGGAACCUGGUCUCCCUGGGUGAGGAUAACUUCUCUCCCGAAGUCGGAAGCCCUUCAGCUGGAUUUGUAAUCAAGGAAUUAUCACCAAUAGAGGACAUAAUAAAGGAGAAUUGUGCCACCUGGUAAUACUGGAGAGAAAUGAAAGUCAUGGCAUCCAGGAUUUUGAUCUCAAGGAAGUCUGGGAAAAUAUGCAUGAGUUAGAGACUCAGUGGGAGUAUGAUGCAAGAAUUACAAAGAAGUGCCUUUGACCCAUGACAAAAAUCUCACUUGUGGAAAAGACUGGCAACUUAAUCAGUCCUCAGUUACUCUUCCUGAAAAGCAGAGUGUUUCUGUAAGAAAUAAUAUGUACCAGUAUUUCAUGCCUGAGGAGCCAUUUAUGAGGAAUUCGUUAAAACUGGGUGGUAACAGAAGUGGUUCUGGAACCAGUACAUAA
rnacentral:lncRNA from 1 species